rnacentral:rRNA from 1 species
CUUAGGGAGGAGCUUGCGUCACAUUAGUUAGUUGGUGGGGUAAAGGCYUACCAAGACUAUGAUGUGUAGCCGGGCUGAGAGGUUGAACGGCCACAUUGGGACUGAGACACGGCCCAAACUCCUACGGGAGGCAGCAGUAGGGAAUUUUCGGCAAUGGAGGAAACUCUGACCGAGCAACGCCGCGUGAACGAUGAAGUAUUUCGGUACGUAAAGUUCUUUUAUUAGGGAAGAAUAAAUGAUGGAAAAAUCAUUCUGACGGUACCUAAUGAAUAAGCCCCGGCUAACUAUGUGCCAGCAGCCGCGGUAAUACAUAGGGGGCAAGCGUUAUCCGGAAUUAUUGGGCGUAAAGGGUGCGUAGGCGGUUAAAUAAGUUUAUGGUCUAAGUGCAAUGCUUAACAUUGUGAUGCUAUAAAAACUGUUUANCUAGAGUAAGAUAGAGGCAAGUGGAAUUCCAUGUGUAGUGGUAAAAUGCGUAAAUAUAUGGAGGAACACCAGUAGCGAAGGCGGCUUGCUGGGUCUUUACUGACGCUGAGGCACGAAAGCGUGGGGAGCAAACAGGAUUAGAUACCCUGGUAGUCCACGCCGUAAACGAUGAGUACUAAAUGUUGGGUAAAACCAGUGUUGAAGUUAACACAUUAAGUACUCCGCCUGAGUAGUACGUACGCAAGUAUGAAACUUAAAGGAAUUGACGGGACUCCGCACAAGCGGUGGAUCAUGUUGUUUAAUUCGAAGGUACCCGAAAAACCUCACCAGGUCUUGACAUGCUUCUGCAAAGCUGUAGAAACACAGUGGAGGUUAUCAGUUGCACAGGUGGUGCAUGGUUGUCGUCAGCUCGUGUCGUGAGAUGUUGGGUUAAGUCCCGCAACGAGCGCAACCCUUAUUGUUAGUUGCCAGCACGUAAUGGUGGGGACUUUAGCA